GAAGCUAGGAAUGUGUUUCAAAGUUGAAGAAUUGAAGAUGCAAAGUUUCCUAAUUGAAGUAGGAAAGUGCCUAAUUGAAGAUGAAAUCCUAGUCAACAAUGGAUUCCUAGUUGAAGUUGGAUUUCUAGAAGAUUAAAGAUUCAUACUCAAUCAAGGUUUCCUACUUGAAGAAGGAAAGUUAAAAGCCAAAGAAUCAGCUCAAGUGAAGAAACCUUAUCCAAAACAUUAUCCAUAACCUUAUCCUAUCCUAUCUUAUCCUAAUCCUAAUCUACCUAUAUUUCAGCUACAAAAGGGAUUUCUUUUCCUAUUUGGAGACUUAAAACCUGAUUUCUAGAAGCCUUAUC
rnacentral:lncRNA from 1 species